GCCUCCAUAGCUCAGCUAAUAGAGCAACGGCCUUCUAAUCCGCGUGUCGCGGGUUUGAAUCCCGCCGGGGGCAC
rnacentral:tRNA from 1 species